GAUGAACGCUAGCGGCAGGCUUAAUACAUGCAAGUCGAGGGGCAACAGGGGUAGCAAUACCUGCUGGCGACCGGCAAACGGGUGCGCAACACGUACAGAGCCUUCCUUUAAGCGGGGAAUAGCCCAUAGAAAUGUGGAUUAAUACCCCAUGGUAUUGAUGUGUGGCAUCACAUAUUAAUUAAAGAUUUAUCACUUAAAGAUGGCUGUGCGUCUGAUUAGGUAGUUGGUGCAGGUAACGGCUCACCAAGCCAACGAUCAGUAACUGGUGUGAGAGCACGACCAGUCACACGGGCGACUGAGACACGGGCCCGGACUCCUACGGGAGGCAGCAGUAAGGAAUAUU
rnacentral:rRNA from 1 species